rnacentral:rRNA from 1 species
AUUGAACGCUGGCGGCAGGCCUAACACAUGCAAGUCGAACGGUAACAGGAAACAGCUUGCUGUUUCGCUGACGAGUGGCGGACGGGUGAGUAAUGUCUGGGAAACUGCCUGAUGGAGGGGGAUAACUACUGGAAACGGUAGCUAAUACCGCAUAACGUCGCAAGACCAAAGAGGGGGACCUUCGGGCCUCUUGCCAUCGGAUGUGCCCAGAUGGGAUUAGCUAGCAGGUGAGGUAACGGCUCACCUAGGCGACGAUCCAUAGCUGGUCUGAGAGGAUGACCAGCCACACUGGAACUAGGACACGGUCCAGACUCCUACGGGAGGCAGCAGUGCGGAAUAUUGCACAAUGGGCGCAAGCCUGAUGCAGCCAUGCCGCGUGUAUGAAGAAGGCCUUCGGGUUGUAAAGUACUUUCAGCGGGGAGGAAGGGAGUAAAGUUAAUACCUUUGCUCAUUGACGUUACCCGCAGAAGAAGCACCGGCUAACUCCGUG